rnacentral:rRNA from 1 species
UACGUAGGGGGCUAGCGUUGCUCGGAAUCACUGGGCGUAAAGGGCGCGUAGGCGGAUCUUUAAGUCGGGGGUGAAAGCCUGAGGCUCAACCUCAGAAUUGCCUUCGAUACUGGAGAUCUUGAGACCGGAAGAGGUAAGUGGAACUGCGAGUGUAGAGGUGAAAUUCGUAGAUAUUCGCAAGAACACCAGUGGCGAAGGCGGCUCACUGGCCCGGUACUGACGCUGAGGUGCGAAAGCGUGGGGAGCAAACAGG